GAGAGACGAACACUGAAUGGUUGUGUCCAUGUUAUCGACCUCGAGCAACAGCUUCUCUUCAUAGAACCCGGGAGUUGGAGAUUCAGGAUCGAAUCUCUGCUCCCUCCCCGCUCCUGUGAGAUUUUUUUGAUCUUCAGCUACACUUUUCAGCUUUGUGAGAAACCUAUCAUCAAACACGAUGGCUAGCAAUGUCACCAACAAGACAGACCCUCGCUCCAUGAACUCCCGUGUAUUCAUUGGGAAUCUGAAUACUCUUGUGGUCAAGAAGUCUGAUGUGGAAGCAAUCUUCUCAAACUAUGGCAAAAUUGUGGGUUGCUCUGUUCAUAAGGGCUUUGCCUUUGUCCAGUAUGUUAAUGAGAGAAAUGCCUGGGCUGCUGUAGCAGGAGAGGAUGGCAGAAUGAUUGCUGGCCAGGUUUUAGAUAUUAAUCUGGCUGCAGAGCCAAAAGUGAACUGAGGAAAAGCAGGUGUGAAACGAUCUGCAGCGGAGAUGUACGGCUCCUCAUUUGACUUGGAUUAUGACUCUCAUGGGGUUAUUAUGACAGGAUGUACAGUUACCCAGCACGUGUGCCACCACCACCACCUAUUGCUCGGGCUGCAGUGCCCUCUAAACGCCAGCGUGUAUCAGGAAACACCUCAUGAAGUGGCAAAAGUGGCUUCAAUUCUAAGAGUGGUCAGCGAGGAUCAUCAUCCAAGUCUGGAAAGUUGAAAGGAGAUGACCUUCAGGCCAUUAAGAAGGAGCUGACCCAGAUAAAGCAAAAAGUGGAUUCUCUACUGGAAAGUCUGGAAAAAAUAGAAAAGGAACAGAGCAAAUAAGCAGUAGAGGUGAAGAAUGAAAAGUCAGAAGAGGAACAGAGCAGCAGCUCCCAGAAGAAAGAUGAGACUAAUGUGAAGAUGGAAUCUGAGGGGGGUGCAGAUGACUCUGCUGAGGAGGGGGACCAACUGGAUGAUGAUGAUAAUGAAGAUGGGGGAAGACCAGCUGGAGUUGAUCAAGGAUGAUGAAAAGGAGGCUGAGGAAGGAGAGGAUGACAGAGACAGCACCAAUGGUGAGGAUGACUCUUAA